rnacentral:lncRNA from 1 species
GCGGUAGUGCGGAGAUUGGAGGGGAGUCGACGGUGCCAUCAUUGGGGUCAUUGUCAGGGACUGGCAAGGAAGAGAAGAAAAAAAGCUCCCUUUGUCUUUUAGGAGAUCCUUUGUUCAAAGGUUGAAGGUAACAUCAUCGGUGGGGCCCAUGAGGAGAAGAGAAUAGGACAAGCUCCCUUGGGAGCUCUUUGGUGGGGAGAUCAUAGUGCCUUCAUUAGGUC